UUCGAUGAUACGCGAGGAACCGUUACCUUGGGCUUAAAUAGUAGAGUGUCUAUUUUUAGUAGAUAGUAAACUUCCUUCGGGCGUUUCUGCAAGGUGCUGCAUGGUUGUCGUCAGCUCGUGCCGUGAGGUGUCGGGUUAAGUCCCAUAACGAGCGCAACCCUUAUCGUUAGUUGCCAUCUGGUAAUGCAGGGGACUCUAGCGAAACUGCCACCGUAAGGUGAGAGGAAGGUGGGGAUGACGUCAAAUCAGCACGGCCCUUAUGCCCAGGGCUACACACGUGUUACAAUGGUCGGUACAGAGGGCAGCUACCUGGUGACAGGAUGCUAAUCCCGAAAACCGGCCUCAGUUCGGAUCGAAGUCUGCAGCUCGACUUCGUGAAGCUGGAUUCGCUAGUAAUCGCGCAUCAGCCAUGGCGCGGUGAAUACGUUCCCGGGCCUU
rnacentral:rRNA from 1 species